GUUAAAUUGCAUUUUUUUUUUAUCUUUGUUGUACGAAGCUCUUUUCUCUCUAACAUAUUUCCAUCUAUAUUUAUGCUUCUCUCUUUCCGUGUUUUCUAAUGUAUUUAAGGUAUUUUCUAUGUAUGGGAUCUCAACUAUUGGUGCCAAGUUGGUCAAAGUUGCGUAAGCCGGGCCUUUUUGUAUUAAUUGUUUUACAAAUUGCGGUAGAUUUAUUCCCCUACUAUUGUUAUGGCUUUAUGUCUAUUUUAUUCUUUCUUUUCUUUAUUCCUUGUGUUUUGAAUAUCCAUUUUAUCUUUUUUAUGUACCUUUCUUUUAAAGUUUUUUGUUUCUUUUCUACUUUCUUAUUCGUUUAAAUUUAUUUGUUUUCUUAUAC
rnacentral:lncRNA from 1 species